GAUGAACGCUGGCGGCGUGCCUAAUACAUGCAAGUCGAGCGAACAGACGAGGAGCUUGCUCCUCUGACGUUAGCGGCGGACGGGUGAGUAACACGUGGAUAACCUAUCUAUAAGACUGGGAUAACUUCGGGAAACCGGAGCUAAUACCGGAUAAUAUCUUGAACCGCAUGGUUCAAUAGUGAAAGACGGUUUUGCUGUCACUUAUAGAUGGAUCCGCGCCGCAUUAGCUAGUUGGUAAGGUAACGGCUUACCAAGGCAACGAUGCGUAGCCGACCUGAGAGGGUGAUCGGCCACACUGGAACUGAGACACGGUCCAGACUCCUACGGGAGGCAGCAGUAGGGAAUCUUCCGCAAUGGGCGAAAGCCUGACGGAGCAACGCCGCGUGAGUGAUGAAGGUCUUCGGAUCGUAAAACUCUGUUAUUAGGGAAGAACAAAUGUGUAAGUAACUAUGCACGUCUUGACGGUACCUAAUCAGAAAGCCACGGCUAACUACGUG
rnacentral:rRNA from 1 species